UCUUUUGAUAUUUUAUUUUAAAUUUACCAUAAAAUGUAUUUGGUUUGAUCUAGCUUGUGAAGAAGGGUUUGAUUCUUGAUGUUUCCCUUUAAGUUUUAAUCCCAAUUUUUUAACACACUUAGGCACAUGUAUAAAGGACCUUUGAGUGUUAAUUUGAUGGCUUGAUCAUUCAUUUUGGUUUAUGUUUGAAUUUAUUUUUGAUACCUAACUUGUAUGGUCAAUAGUGGUUUGUCAUGCUUGAUGUUUGAAACCAUUUUGAACUUGUUCUUGAGCCAAUCUUUUGGGAAUUUUUAGGCACAUAUAUGAUUAGGGUUUGAGUGUGUAUUUUAGGUCCUUU
rnacentral:lncRNA from 1 species